AAAUAACAAAUUAUCACAAUCGUUGGUUGUGGAAUUGGGCCCUUAUUUCGAAUAGAUUUAUGGCCUUAAAUUUACGUCAUGUGUUAAUUCGAACCAAACGGAGCAAUUAAACAUUCUCUCGUUAGACGGAUUAUUCACAAGCAAUUACGAUUUUUUGGACGACGAAAAGCACUCUCACGAGCGCGAAGCCCAAGAUCGUAAAUUUAAUUGAC
rnacentral:misc_RNA from 1 species